rnacentral:tRNA from 1 species
GGCCCGAUAGCUCAGCUGGCAGAGCACAGCACUGAAAAUGCUGGUGUCGGCAGUUCGACCCUGCCUUGGGCCACCA